GGGGUCUACACCGAGGUGCCCUAAGCGGGGAAAGGAUGACAGCACAGUCUCCAAGGCAAUGUGGGAGGAAACAACAGCCUGACGCCAAGAUCAUUAAGUUCCCACAUGCCCUUUCGCCUUACCUCUUUGAAAAUGGAACCUCUGAAGUUACAGUGAUUUUACUCUUACUUCUCUCAAUGGUCACUGCACCUCCACCAAGAUUCCCAGCUUUUCCAUUCACUUUGAUUCGUUCCUGCAAAAACUGUUC